rnacentral:rRNA from 1 species
GGAUGGGGACAACAGACGGAAACGACUGCUAAUACCGAAUACCUGAAGAGGGGUUUGCGUCUGAUUAGGUAGUUGGUGAGGUAACGGCCCACCAAGCCGACGAUCAGUAGCCGGUCUGAGAGGAUGAACGGCCACACUGGAACUGAGACACGGUCCAGACUCCUACGGGAGGCAGCAGUGGGGAAUCUUCCGCAAUGGGCGAAAGCCUGACGGAGCAACGCCGGGGGAGUGAUGACGGCCUUCGGGUUGUAAAGCUCUGUGAUCGGGGACGCGGUACCCGAAUAGCAAGCCACGGCUAACUACGUGCCAGCAGCCGCGGUAAUACGUAGGUGGCAAGCGUUGUCCGGAAUUAUUGGGCGUAAAGCGCGCGCAGGCGGUUCUUAAGUCCAUCUUAAAAGUGCGGGGCUUAACCCCGUGAUGGGAUGGAAACUGAGAGCUGGAGUAUCGGAGAGGAAAGUGGAAUUCCUAGUGUAGCGGUGAAAUGCGUAGAGAUUAGGAAGAACACCGGUGGCGAAGGCGACUUUCUGGACGACAACUGACGCUGAGCGCGAAAGCGUGGGAGCAAACAGGAUUAGAUACCC